rnacentral:rRNA from 1 species
CAGCAGCCGCGGGAAUACGAAGGGGGCUAGCGUUGCUCGGAAUGACUGGGCGUAAAGGGCGCGUAGGCGGAUUGUUUAGUUAGGCGUGAAAUUCCUGGGCUUAACCUGGGGACUGCGCUUAAUACAGGCAGUCUAGAGUGAGGAAGAGGGUUGUGGAAUUCCCAGUGUAGAGGUGAAAUUCGUAGAUAUUGGGAAGAACACCGGUGGCGAAGGCGGCGACCUGGUCCUUGACUGACGCUGAGGCGCGAAAGCGUGGGGAGCAAACAGGAUUAGAUACCCCAGUAGUCCCUGUCUCUUAUAC